ACGGAUCAGCCUGGGGUCGAGGCUACACUGUACUGUACUCCUCUACCUCUGGCCACAGCUAGCCUUGACUAGAAACACAGAGCAAGAAUUGAACUGCAGUGUUUCAGGCCUCAUGAACAUGUAAUAAGUAGCUUAGACUGCUAGCUAGCUCAGGUCAAUAUGACAAUAGCACAAAACAUAGUCUACAAAAACUUUUGUGUGCUGUAUUGCUAUUUUACUGUGUACAAAUUGUCAAGAUGAUUCAAAAGUUGAAUAGUGCUUGUAGGAAGUAAAAAUAUGAGCCAUAUUCCAUACUUCCCUGGGGGAAGUAAAAUAUGGCUCAUAUUCACUGGAAAUCACCUUGGAUACGGAGUGAAUCAGUAAAUAAAUAUAAUUAUAGCUCAUUUAGGCUGUAAUAAAUUAUGGUUGGCAAGUAUGCCAGAGACUUUAUAACUUGUUGAAGCGUAAUAGAAGAGCUUUUCAAAGAAUCCGAUGGUAUAAUUAUGAAACUUCGAAAUUGAGUAAACUAUGACAAGUUAUGACAACGUUAUGGAGGCUCAACUCAACUCAAAAUUAAUAUACUUUAGUGUAUACAUAUUUAAGCCGCUCAAUGUAUAUAGCUAUACCUACCGUAUCAAGAGUACAUGAAGGGAGUAAGCAAACUAUUCUAUAUACACACCAUAUAAUAAUAUUAUGUUGUUCUCUCUAUGUCCAAACACUUGUAUACUAAACGGUGUGGGUUAAUUGACAUGACCAUGUAUGGCUAAGGCACGCGGGCUAUGAAUGUGGUAGAGUAAUAAUGUAGCAUUAGUAGCUGCAUCUUGACAAGGAAAUGUCUACAAUAAUCAAAAACUCUACCACAUGUGCUUGUGCAAUACAUGUACCGUAUAGCGGGAAAUUUUCACGGGUGCUAUUUGGCUCCAGAGCCCUCAGUAGAAAUUUUUGUGGGUUCUAAUAUUCGCCUUUCAAUGCCACCCACCAAUAACUUCGCAUAUGAAAUACUGGUGCGUGGCUAGUUAAUUUUAGCGUAUAUUGCUCUGCUCUCGAAAGACGCGAAAUUGCACCUCUCAUGAAUCCUAUAGGCCCUCUUAACUAUCCUCAAACUGCUCUAACAUUAAUUUUUGCGGUCUGAUUCUUUUUUCUAGCCGUUGUCAAGGCAUUUACACAAAUUUGAGUACUAUUAUUGUAGCUCAUCAGCAUAAUUAUUCUUUUGCAGGUAGGCCUUCCUAACCACUCCAAGUGAACUAGCUGUCUGAAUCUUAAUACCGGUCCGAAAUAGCUAUGAAGUACAAGUUCAAAGGACUGUAGUAAAGACUCAUAAUUAACUGGAUACAUGCAUGCAAGUUUUGCAAACACUUCUGAACACUUUUGUUUCAUUUUCAGUUACUAUAAUUAUGCUAUAGCGCUAUAUAGACUCGUCAUUAUUUUUGUUAUUGUUUAUUGUUUUAUGAGAUUGAAAUGGUGUUAAUUGGAA